rfam:Aptenodytes forsteri contig21267, whole genome shotgun sequence.
UAAAAGGGCUUCUGCCGUGCGUGGCACGGGGGGGCCCCGCGGCCGCCCCCGCGGAAUCGGCAUCAAGAGAUUUCGGAAGCACAAUUUUUGCGGUGGGGG